rnacentral:tRNA from 1 species
GGAGAGGCUAUGCUCAGUGGUAGAGCACAAGCAGAAGGUCCCAGGUUCAAUCCCUGUUGUCUCCA